GGUUGAGCUACGCGAUGGCUGACCCAUGCGUCAACUCGUGAACGGAUGCUGCCAGAGGGAACUGGUCAUCUCUUUUCUCAUAUAUUUUUAUUUUUCCAUCGUCAUCUUGUGCAACACACCCCAAGUAUUGAUGACGGUGUACUUUGUAAUCGCUCUUUUGAAAAAUAAAGAUAUUGGUGGUAUUUCUAUGCCAUCAGAAGCAGGGACCUCAAGCGCUUCAUC